rnacentral:rRNA from 1 species
GACGAACGCUGGCGGCGUGCUUAACACAUGCAAGUCGAACGGAAAGGCCCUGCUUUUGUGGGGUGCUCGAGUGGCGAACGGGUGAGUAACACGUGAGUAACCUACCCUUGACUUUGGGAUAACUUCAGGAAACUGGGGCUAAUACCGGAUAGGAGCUCCUGCUGCAUGGUGGGGGUUGGAAAGUUUCGGCGGUUGGGGAUGGACUCGCGGCUUAUCAGCUUGUUGGUGGGGUAGUGGCUUACCAAGGCUUUGACGGGUAGCCGGCCUGAGAGGGUGACCGGCCACAUUGGGACUGGGAUACGGCCCAGACUCCUACGGGAGGCAGCAGUGGGGAAUAUUGCACAAUGGGCGGAAGCCUGAUGCAGCAACGCCGCGUGCGGGAUGACGGCCUUCGGGUUGUAAACCGCUUUCGCCUGUGACGAAGCGUGAGUGACGGUAAUGGGUAAAGAAGCACCGGCUAACUACGUG